GUAGGGAAUCUUCGGCAAUGGACGAAAGUCUGACCGAGCAACGCCGCGUGAGUGAAGAAGGUUUUCGGAUCGUAAAACUCUGUUGGUAGAGAAGAACGUUGGUGAGAGUGGAAAGCUCAUCAAGUGACGGUAACUACCCAGAAAGGGACGGCUAACUACGUGUCAG
rnacentral:rRNA from 1 species